CCCGAAGCAGAUCUGCUGUCUCAAGAGCUUAUACCACAGCCAUAGGCUGUCUGUGUUUAGCCUGUGCUGGGGGGAGACAGUUCAGCGUUUUCCCACUCCCUCUGUCAGCUUGCCUUGAGAUUAUUUGCUGACACCCUGGAGACACAGGUCAGAUGAGGCCGCUGACCCAGGUCUUCAGGGGUUUGUACAAGAGCUUGCUUGGCCCUUGUUUGUUUGGAAGGAGCGUGGCAAAGCAGACACUGCUGUAUUUAGCCAUUGGAUUCCAGGAUUACAGUCCUGUGCUGCCCCAUCCUCUGCUCUCUGCAGCCCUGGAAUGGAACUCAGGGCCUUGUGCGCACUGUACAAGACAAGCACUCUGCCAACCAACAGAGCUGCAUCUGCAACUCUGGGAGUGCCCAUCCCAAGCUCACCAUGGACUUCCCACAUGAAACAUCAUUUUUGCCUGUGCUCCCCAUGUGUUUCUGGCUGAAGACAGCUUUUGAGUCUGUGGACUCACCAAAGGAGAUCACCCUAGUCAGUGUAACGUACUUUCCUGUCCUCCAAGCCUUGAGAAUCUAAAUAAAACAAGGGGCCGGGAAAGAAAGAGCCUU
rnacentral:lncRNA from 1 species